rnacentral:rRNA from 1 species
AUGGUAUGCAUACUUGUCAACAUACAUACUGCCUAUAUGCUGCAGCGAAGGAUAUGUAUUCUGCAGUUCCAAACUCUGCGUAUGUGUUUUGAGUUCUGCUCACUAGGUCAUAUUUAUCACUGGGACCUGGUGGGGCAACUUUGCCGAGGUUUCCAAGAUAUAGUUUGGCUUCCUCUUUUUCCCUGUUGCCUACAUCGAGUUGCUUGGUUGCUUGAGCUCAUUGGCCUUAUUUGGUUUAUGGAAGGCAUCCUUGCCAACAUCUUCUUGCGAAGUGUUUUGCCAUACCUUUUGUUACCUGAAGUGUAA